CGGGUGAGUAACGCGUGGAUAACCUGCCUCACACUGGGGAUAACAGUUAGAAAUGACUGCUAAUACCGCAUAAGCGCACAGUACCGCAUGGUACGAGUGUGAAAAACUCCGGUGGUGUGAGAUGGAUCCGCGUCUGAUUAGCCAGUUGGCGGGGUAACGGCCCACCAAAGGCGACGAUCAGUAGCCGACCUGAGAGGGUGACCGGCCACAUUGGGACUGAGACACGGCCCAA
rnacentral:rRNA from 1 species